AGUGCCCCCCUCUCAAACCCUCCCCCCCAUGGCCCAAAGUGGGGAAUGGGGGGGAGGGUUUGAGAGGGGGGCAGCAGC